GACUGCUGUGACUGUGACAUAACAUGAAGUUGGUAAUUUUGGAGACAUCGAAUGCAGUUGGCGAUUGGGCGGCCAAAUAUGUGAUGAAAAGGAUCAAUGAAUUCCAUCCAGGACCACAUAAGUACUUUGUAUUAGGACUUCCAACUGGAAGUACACCUUUGGGAAUGUAUAAAAAACUAAUUGAGUUUCAUAAAGCUGGAAAAGUUUCUUUUAAAUAUGUAAAGACAUUCAAUAUGGAUGAGUAUGUUGGUCUUCCUCGUGAUCACCACGAAAGCUAUCAUUACUUUAUGUGGGAUAACUUUUUUAAACACAUAGAUAUCGAUCCAGCAAAUGUUCAUAUUCUCAAUGGCAAUGCACCUGAUCUUGUGGCUGAAUGCAAUGCAUUCGAAGAUGAAAUUAAAAAAGCUGGUGGCGUUGAACUAUUUAUUGGUGGUAUUGGUCCUGAUGGCCAUAUUGCAUUCAACGAACCCGGAUCGUCUUUGGUAUCAAGAACUCGAGUAAAAACACUUGCUCAAGAUACAUUGGAGGCAAAUGCUAGAUUUUUUGAUAACGAUAUGAGUUUGGUUCCCAAACAAGCUUUAACUGUUGGCGUUGGCACUGUGAUGGAUUCAAAAGAAGUUAUGAUACUUGUGACUGGAGCACAUAAGGCAUUUGCUUUGUAUAAAGCCAUAGAAGAAGGAGUCAAUCAUAUGUGGACGGUCAGUGCCUUCCAACAACAUGAGAAUACUUUGAUGGUUUGUGAUGAAGAUGCCACACUAGAAUUACGUGUUAAAACCGUAAAAUAUUUUAAGGGAUUAUUUAUUGGAGUUCACGAUAAGAUGAUUGACUAAACUUCAGGAUUUCCAGAAAUAUUUAUAAAAAAGAAAGAAAUAAACAAAAUUAUUGCAUUUAUAAGAUUCAUUCAACGAUUUGCUGUCAUUUGGGUUUGGUCUGAUGGGAAUUCACUCAAAACUAAUUGAUGAAAUGUAAAAUAAAAUUUUCAAAGGAACUGAAUUGUUUGAAUUUAUUUUUAUAUUUUUAGGUCAAAUAUAUUUUUUAUACAUUUUAUCCGCCUGCAAUAAUGUGUCAAUUAAUUUAUUCAUUUGAUUUAAAAAUAAAAUUAUUUUCCGUUUUGGUUUUUACUUAUA